UCUUUUGUGCAUUCAUGUUUUCUCCUUUUUUUUCCUUGACUAUGUUAGACAUUGAUUUAUUUUGAUUUUUUAACACAGAACAAAAUUCUUUAUUAUAUGAGUUAUAGUUUUUCUGUUCUAUAGCCCUUAACUUCUGCUUUUAUUCCACUAAUUUCUUCUGCUUUCCUUCAGUGUUUUUUCUAUCCUUUUGAAUGAGAGGCUCAAUUCAUUUAUUUUCAGGUGCUUAUUUUUCUUGGUAGAACCAAGAGCUACAGAUGUUCUCCUUGAGCACUUGUGUCCCUUACACUCAGAAUUGUUAUCAUUUUUAGAAGUCCUGCCAUUCUGAUUACAGAUCGUCCUUGACCCAAGAGAAUGGUACUAGAGGCUGUCAAAGUUCCAGGUGCCAGGGCCUUUCUGCUUUCUAAUUGUUAUUAAUUCAUAGGUUUAUUUGUAAUCAGAUACUCUUGACUAUAUCUCUUUUCAAAUUUUUUACUAGGAUUUUCUUUGUGACAUAGUAUAUGGUCAAUUUUCAUGACUGUUCCAUGGGCACUUGAAAAGAAGGUGCGUUCUCUAUCAUCAAAAUAGAAUGUGUUAUCUAUAUAUCAAUAUACAGCAUGUGUAAGUAUCUAUAUAUGUACACGUACACACACAUGCACCUUACCAUGCCUGUUAGGUCUGCUCCACCUGGAAUUUACUUCUCAACCCUGCUUUAUGAAAGCUAUGCCUAUUACUUGGGGAGUAGUUCUUUCUGACCAUUUUAUCUUCUUUGAGAAUUGUACCUUCAACAUUACAUGUCCUUUCUGUUUGGUUUAUGCUUUCUGGCCCGGAUUCCAUCUUGCCUGAUAUUCAAAUUGCUGCUUUAUUUUUGUUUGUACUUUCCUUGAAUGCAUUGGUUAGAUUUUAACCUCUUUCUCUCACUGUUUUAGGUGUGUCUCUUGGAGACAGCACAGUUGGGUUUUGUCUUGUGACCCAUUCUGAUAUCUGUCAUUUUAAUUGAUCUAAGGCCACACUUUCCUCACUCACACUUUCGUUGAUGUCAUUGAAACACCCAGAUUCAAUCAUCUGCGUCACAGAAGAGCAGGACACAAGCUCAGACAGCCACCUCCCGGCCGCCCGAGUCGCCGUCCUCACUCCUACUUCCCCACUUCCUGACCUUCCUGGGCACAGUCCUGCUGUGCUGAGAAGGGUGGUACCUCGUUCUGCCAGGGGAUGGAGACACACCCCGUGACAAACUGGCUGUAGAAGGUGUCGUCU